rnacentral:rRNA from 1 species
AUUGAACGCUGGCGGCAAGCCUUACACAUGCAAGUCGAACGGUAACAGGUCUUCGGAUGCUGACGAGUGGCGAACGGGUGAGUAAUACAUCGGAACGUGCCUAGUAGUGGGGGAUAACUACUCGAAAGAGUGGCUAAUACCGCAUGAGAUCUACGGAUGAAAGCAGGGGAUCGAAAGACCUUGUGCUACUAGAGCGGCCGAUGGCAGAUUAGGUGGUUGGUGGGAUAAAAGCUUACCAAGCCGACGAUCUGUAGCUGGUCUGAGAGGACGAUCAGCCACACUGGGACUGAGACACGGCCCAGACUCCUACGGGAGGCAGCAGUGGGGAAUUUUGGACAAUGAGCGAAAACCUGAUCCAGCAAUGCCGCGUGCAGGAUGAAGGCCUUCGGGUUGUAAACUGCUUUUGUACGGAACGAAAAGCCCUGGGUUAAUACCCUGGGGUCAUGACGGUACCGUAAGAAUAAGCACCGGCUAACUACGUGCCAGCCGCCGCAGUAAAAC